GAUGAACGCUGGCGGCGUGCUUAACACAUGCAAGUCGAACGAAGCAUUUAAGACAGAUUACUUCGGUUUGAAGUCUUUUAUGACUGAGUGGCGGACGGGUGAGUAACGCGUGGGUAACCUGCCUCAUACAGGGGGAUAGCAGCUGGAAACGGCUGGUAAUACCGCAUAAGCGCACAGUACCACAUGGUACAGUGUGAAAAACUCCGGUGGUAUGAGAUGGACCCGCGUCUGAUUAGCUUGUUGGCGGGGUAACGGCCCACCAAGGCGACGAUCAGUAGCCGAGCUGAGAGGGUGACCGGCCACAUUGGGACUGAGACACGGCCCAGACUCCUACGGGAGGCAGCAGUGGGGAAUAUUGCACAAUGGAGGAAACUCUGAUGCAGCGACGCCGCGUGAGUGAAGAAGUAGUUCGCUAUGUAAAGCUCUAUCAGCAGGGAAGAUAGUGACGGUACCUGACUAAGAAGCUCCGGCUAAAUACGUG
rnacentral:rRNA from 1 species